rnacentral:rRNA from 1 species
UAUUAUUUGUGAUGUAAAUUUAUUAACUUGAGUAGUAUUAGUUAUGUUCUUGAAACUCAAAGAAUUUGGCGGUAUUUUAGUCUUUUCAGAGGAAUCUGUCCCAUAAAUGAUAAUACACGAUUAACUUUACCAUUUUUUGUAACUUCAGUAUGUAUACCGCCGUCAUCAGUUUAUCUUAUGAGAGUUAAAAAUUUUCUUUAAUUUUGAUUAUAAUUUAUGUCAGGUCAAGGUGCAGUUUAUAUUAUGGUGGAGAUGGAUUACAAUAAAUUUAUUUAUAUGGAUUAUCUUAUGAAAAUUGGUAUGAAGGUGGAUUUGUAAGUAAUUUUAUUUAUUUUGUUAAAUUGAUUUUAGCUCUAAAAUAUGUACAUAUCGCCCGUCGCUCUCAUUAUUAAGUUGAG